rnacentral:lncRNA from 1 species
UAAUUUAUGUAUGUUUCUCUGUCCUGAUAGGAUGGUUGGAAAUUUGUUUGAAGCUUCCUUCUGGAAUUUGAAGAGUCAGUUCAUUUUGAUGACACUGAAGGACUUCCUUCACCGUUUAGUGAGUCUCUUGAGUGUCAACUCUUUCAUCCUGCUGCUGCUGCUGCUGCUGCGUCGCUUCAGUCGCGUCCGACUCUGUGCGACCCCAUAGACGGCAGCCCACCAGGCUCCCCUCU